GACGAACGCUGGCGGCGUGCUUAACACAUGCAAGUCGAACGAUGAAGCCGGAGCUUGCUCUGGUGAAUUAGUGGCGAACGGGUGAGUAACACGUGAGUAACCUGCCCUUGACUCUGGGAUAACUGCUAGAAAUGGUAGCUAAUACCGGAUACGACCCUCGGAGGCAUCUCCAGGGGGUGGAAAGAAUUUCGGUCAAGGAUGGACUCGCGGCCUAUCAGCUAGUUGGUGAGGGAACGUCUCACCAAGGCGACGACGGGUAGCCGGCCUGAGAGGGUGACCGGCCACACUGGGACUGAGACACGGCCCAGACUCCUACGGGAGGCAGCAGUGGGGAAUAUUGCACAAUGGGCGCAAGCCUGAUGCAGCAACGCCGCGUGAGGGAUGACGGCCUUCGGGUUGUAAACCUCUUUUAGUAGGGAAGAAGCGAAAGUGACGGUACCUGCAGAAAAAGCACCGGCUAACUACGUGCCAGCAGCCGCCGUAA
rnacentral:rRNA from 1 species